rnacentral:rRNA from 1 species
UACGGAGGGUGCAAGCGUUGUUCGGAAUUAUUGGGCGUAAAGGGCAGGUAGGUGGUCCCAAAAGUCUACUGUGAAAUCCCCGGGCUUAACUCGGGAAGUGCGGUAGAUACUCUGGGACUAGAGUACUGGAGGGGUUCGUGGAAUUCCCAGUGUAGCGGUGAAAUGCGUAGAUAUUGGGAGGAACACCAGUGGCGAAGGCGGCUCACUGGACCGGUACUGACGCUGAGGCACGAAAGCGUGGGGAGCAAACAGGG